rnacentral:rRNA from 1 species
AUUGAACGCUGGCGGCAGGCCUAACACAUGCAAGUCGAGCGGAGCGGCGGACGGGUGAGUAAUGCCUAGGAAUCUGCCUGGUAGUGGUGGAUAACGUCCGGAAACUGGCGCUAAUACCGCAUACUAUCAGAUGAGCCUAGGUCGGAUUAGCUUGUAGUUGAGGUAACGGCUCACAAAGGCGACGAUCACUACCUGGUCUGAGAGGAUGACCAGCCACCAUUGAACUGAGACACGGUCCAGACUCCUACGGUAGGCAGCAGUGGGGAAUAGUGCACAAUGGGCGCAAGCCUGAUGCAGCCAUGCCGCGUGUAUGAAGAAGGCCUUCGGGUUGUAAAGUACUUUCAGCGGUGAGGCGUUACCCGCAGAAGAAGCACCGGCUAACUCCGUGCCAGCAGCCGCGGUAAUUC